CCUAUGGGGGGCAGCAGGCGCGAAACCUCCGCAAUGCGAGCAAUCGCGACGGGGGGACCCCAAGUGCCACUCUUAACGGGGUGGCUUUUCUUAAGUGUAAAAAGCUUUUGGAAUAAGGGCUGGGCAAGACCGGUGCCAGCCGCCGCGGUAACACCGGCAGCUCUAGUGGUAGCCAUUUUUAUUGGGCCUAAAGCGUUCGUAGCCGGUUUGAUAAGUCUCUGGUGAAAUCCUAUAGCUUAACUGUGGGACUUGCUGGAGAUACUAUUAGACUUGAGGUCGGGAGAGGUUAGCGGUACUCCCAGGGUAGGGGUGAAAUCCUGUAAUCCUGGGAGGACCACCUGUGGCGAAGGCGGCUAACUGGAACGAACCUGACGGUGAGGGACGAAAGCCAGGGGCGCGAACCGGAUUAGAUACCCGAGUAGUCC
rnacentral:rRNA from 1 species